rnacentral:rRNA from 1 species
UACGUAGGGUGCAAGCGUUAAUCGGAAUUACUGGGCGUAAAGCGUGCGCAGGCGGUUAUGUAAGACAGGUGUGAAAUCCCCGGGCUUAACCUGGGAACUGCAUUUGUGACUGCAUAGCUAGAGUACGGUAGAGGGGGAUGGAAUUCCGCGUGUAGCAGUGAAAUGCGUAGAUAUGCGGAGGAACACCGGUAGUGGAGCGG